AAUCCUGAUUUUCAAUUCAAAGAGAACAUCAUGGAAUUUCCUAAGUUUCCUGCCUCCCAGACACACAAGUACUAGAAGACCAUAGUUUAUGCAGCCCCUGAGACAUUUCUAAGUUGCAAGAGCCAUGGCUUCUACUUUAUAAUCCGGGACCCUGGAUUAUAGAGAGUGCAAGCAACAUGGACAGAGUCCCACAGCAGAUGCGAGGGAUUCAACCAAAGCCCAAGGCAGCUCUGAGCCCGAGUGUCCCUGCCCUGAUGCCCUGGCGGCUGUCUUGGGCCUUCGCCAAGCAGGUCCGGGAGCUGGCCUCUGGGCAGGUGGUCUCGGAGGGACGCAGAGAGGCACAGCCACUAAAGCUGUCAUCGCGAGGCAGGCUGCUGAUGGCCCGGGGGAAGAUUUCCCAGACCACAGCUUUGCUUUGCUCUGCGCGUCUGAUGUGUGUGCAUGCUUGUGUGUGCACAUGUGUGUGUCUGUACGGAAUCAGGAAGAGCACAGGUGUUGAACAACUGCCAGGUCAAGGUGUCCUUUCGGCCGCAUGCUAAACCUGCUAUGAACUUUCAUUUUUCCCAGCCCCGUCGAGCCCUCGCCCAGCUUCUCUCCCAUCAUCUCCUGAUUCCUCCCUCCCUUCCCAUUCUUCUGAGAGGGCCUGGAAUCUAACUUUAGGAGCAAAGCUAAUAGAGUCCCCAAAGUGGCUGCCAAGGGACUGGGCUGGCUUCUGUGAGCGGCCGCUGAGCCCUCGGGUCCAGAGCUCUGGGUGCCCAGCGCCCCGUGCAGACGGCGAGCACCUCCUCUGGGCUCUGGGCCCUGCACUGAGGGGACCCUGCACCGCCACCUGCACUGCUGCACUGCAAGUUCGUGACACUCAAGGACCAGGAAGGGAGGCUGAUUUUCCUGAAGGCACUAAGGGAGACGACAGAGGGAACUGCUUUCCAAGGUGCCGCGGGGUUCAGGGCUUCUGCCCUCCCGAGUCAGAUGCCAUCCGUGUUUCCUGAAGCAUCUUAACCUGGCCUCUGUCCUCCAGCCUAUCUGUGACAUGAGUCCUCAGAGAUCCUCAACUCCAGCCAGGUGACAGUGCCUCUGCGCUGCACGCGCCAUAAGGAAACAAAGGCUGUGACAGCACAAGAAGUGUUGGCCUGGACGUGGUGGCCCAUGCCUGAGGCAGGAGGAUCACGGAGAGUUUGAGGCCAGCCGCAACUGCAUAGAGGGACCUUGUCUGAAAAAGACCAGCCAACCAGCAAACAAAACCCAAAAUCAAAAGCAACCAAACAACACAAUUUUCAGUACAAUUUCUUCAUCUGGUUGAUAUAGCUUUUCUUUUCUUUUUUAAUACAGUUUACUUUUAAUCAUUUAGUAAUGGGUACCGGGGAUCCAACUCUCGACUGCACGCUUGUAAGGCAGGCGCUUAUGCCACUGAGCUAAAUCCCAGCCCAGAUACUAUGUUUAUAACAAGUACCAAAAAUGAUUUCAUGCCAUCAUGCUCAUCAUGGUCAUCAACCUGCUUGCAAGUAUACACCUAGUACAUGCACAGAUCACACGGGUUCUGGACCGGGGCUCUGCCCGGUCUUGGCCUGUGUAGUACUGUGGAAGCCUCCCUGUGCUUCACAGUUUCCUCAUCUAUAAAAUGGGUCCUUCAUAGAGCUCUUAUGAGAACGCAGCUUCCAGCGCCGUGCAUGAGCUCCAGGCACUUAAGAUGGUGCCUGGCACGUACUGAAGGCUCAGUAAAGGGCGGUGGCUUUAUCACCAUCACCACCUUUCCAGAGCCUCAGGGAGGACAAUUCAAAAGUUAAAUCUGGCUUUGAAUAACUGAUGUUUUAAGGAAGUCCUUACUCUGUGUGCCACUUUGCUCUCAGAACCAAGCACCAACCAGGCCGUGCUCUCUAACAAGGCCAGCCAAGCUGCCCAGCACCCAGCGGUGACGCACUGCCAACCAUCACUGAGUAUUUCUGAGCUUAUCGUGCGUAGCAAGAUGUCCCCUCCCCAUGAACACACCGCUACUCUCAGAGCUCGGGUGCAAACUCAGACUUUCACUCAAAAAAAGACCUUGGAAUUUUUUCCUGUCCUCUCACUAGUGAAUUUCCACCGCAGGCAACCGGGGCUGGUGACUCCAGCCGCUCGGGCCUCCAAGAAGGUGCCACCCAUCUGCCUAAAGGGGGAGCCCGUGAGCAACCGGCGAGCUGGGCAGGCCGCACAAGAACACGGGUCAGGCUCUGGGUUUACCUUUUGGUCUCUUUCUUUUUUCCUUUUGGUCUCUUUAGGAGGAUGGGGUGGGGCUAACUCACAAUCACAGUCAACUUUCCCUUUUUAAGAUUGCCUAAGGUCAGGAGAGUGGAAGACAAAAAAUACAGUUAAUUUUAAUGAUCCCUCUGGAAGAUCCCGGGGCAAAACACUCCCACCAAACAGCUCUAAUUAAAGCUCCCGUUAGGAAGAGGGCGAGGCGAAGCCUGUGUGAACAGAGAAAGUCACAUAGUCAAUGCAGGUGCGGCUUGAUUUUUUUUUUUCUAAAAAAGAAGGCUCAAUCAUAUACGUACACGAUAGAUCUUAGCUUGCUGCAACAACAGAGAAAAUAGGGACGCAACCCAGUUUAAGGAAGCUGAUCAUCAUCUCCGAGGGCUAACUGCUGCCUUACCGCAAGCCAAAGGCAGGAGGGAAGCCCCAGACCCUUGGGAGAAACCAGUCUCUAUCCGCAUUCUCCUCGCUAGGCAGGGUGACUGCCUGCCGAAGACAGGUGUGUACGAGGGGCCACCUGCGCAGAAGUCACCUUCUUUUCCAGACAGGGCUGGCUACGUUGUCAGGUAACCUCAGACUCACGGCGAUGCGCUCGCCUCCGCCUGCCCAGUCUCGCCGGGGUUACAGGCGACGCAUGGCACCCAGACCCAGCCACAGCCAUGUUUCCAUGGAAGCUCUGCUUUUGCUUUUGUAAUGCCGGCUUUAGCAAGUUACUCAUUUGUGCGUAUUUUCGAAUUCGAUUCCUGCUAGCUCGCACAUUUUCAGUAUGAGCACAUAUUCAGCCUCGUAUUUUACUUGAGUGAUCAAAAAUGCUUAUAUCCAUUUAGCUUAAAAAUUUAAGAAACACACUCUGAUAAUUUACAGAGCUUAAAGUUUCCAAAGAGCCAGGCGUGGUGGUGCUGAGAAGGCUGAAGCAUGAGGAUGACUGCAAAUUCAAGGCCCACCUAGAUUACACAGGAAGAGCCUGUCUCCCCUCCCCCCCAACAGUUAAGCAGAACAAUACAUUUGCAUUUCUUUGAUAGGUUAAUUAAAUGACCUUUAGCAUUGUUGCCUAUUAAAUUAGUAUAAAAUAAUACCAUUAAUCUACAGAAGAAGCUAGGUCUGCAAUUUGUGUUUGAACAAUAUUCUAAGACCUUUUGGUCUACUCCCAGACUCGGACAGUCCAUGACCCUGAAUUACCCACUAAUGGAUCUGUAAUAGGAAGUGCUUCAUCCUACUAGAAGAUUCUGCUUAGAGGGCAACCUUUCAAGCUGGAUGGUUUCCUGAACCAGCAGGGAACAGGAGGAGCAGUCCUGGGCCACGGUUGGCAGCACCCAGCCCUAAAGAGAAGGAAAUCCAUGCGCACAGAGGCAGUUUCACAGGCUACAUUUUUCUCCUUUAUUUGGGCCAUCAUGUGGAAGAUAGAUUAUUUUCUAAAACGAUUAAGUAAUUCAUCAAUUAGCCAGCUAGAGAAUUAAUCCUAAGGAAAAACGUAAUAAGCUCUUCUUCCAGAAGUGCCAGCUGUCAGAAACUGUCAGGCUCAGUCAAAGCUCCCUGAUGUCCCCACCAAGGCACGCAGUGAGUGGAAAGUCACUGCGUGAAACCCAUUAGGCUGCGUCGCUAGAUGUCCAAUGUUACAUAAAAACUAUAAAUAGCUUUGUACUUUGGGGUGUUUUUUCAAUUUGCUUCCCUUGAAGUAAUAAUGAUGUUCUGCUUCAGUUAAUAAAGUAAUUUAGGAGCUGUCUUUGUGUUUAAUCCACAUACUGUCUCUGUGUAGAAUAAAAAUGGUAAGUAAUAAUCAAAUCAGUAGAAUCCUAAGCAUUCCUUGGAAUCUCUGCCAUUAAUAAUUUUAAAGCUUAAGGGGUGUACUGCUUAAAAACAUUACUAGACUCAAUAAUCUUGUGAGCUUACUUUUUUGGGAGGAAUAAAACACAGCUUCUG